ensembl:lncRNA
CACGGAAAUAAAUUACAUUUUAACAUUAUAUUAAAAUAGAAAGCAGUUAUUUUAAACUAAAACUAUUUCACAAUAUUACUGAUUUCACUGUAAUUCUGAUAAAUGCAGGCUUGGUGAGCAGAAGAGACUUCUUUAAAAACAUUAAAAAUCUUACUAUUCAAAAACUUUUGACUGGUAGUGUUAAUUUUACCUUUAUCAGAUAUAACUUCUAUUUCAUCUUUGCAAAAAUCCUCAAUCUCCUUUCUCAGUACAGAGACAGAUCUUCUCACUUCAUCAAAGGUCCGCUGAGAGCUAACAGUCACGUGAAGUGCUGUGCUGUGUCUACAUUCUGAAACAGACAGAGACUGCAAACUCUACAGACACACAAAGACACAAACUCAUCAGAAUAAAGACAAACACACACAAACUGAAGAAAUUAAGAGUCUUUCUCUCUGUUCACUGAGAUCAUCACCUGACAGCAUUUAUUCUGAUAACUCUACUCUCAUGAAAAAUACAACAUCUGUUUAUAAUACUGGUGACGUUAUAAACAAAUGAGCUGAAAUUGUCCUGUACCUGCAGGAACUGGAUGUGAUCCUGUGUGUGUGAAAGCUGCUCCAGCUCAGCGUCUCUCCUCCUCAGAUCAUUGAUCUCCUGCUCCAGUCGCUCCAGUCGUUCUUCAGCUCGACUCACUGCAGUCUUUUCCUGAUCUCUGAUCAGUCGUAUCAGCUCAGAGCGGCUUCUCUCAAUGGAGCGGAUGAGCUCAGUAAAGAUCCUCUCACUGUCCUCCACUGCUGUCUCGUCUUCUGCGUCUCCUUCAGCUGCUUCUG